rnacentral:rRNA from 1 species
UUGAACGCUGGCGGCAUGCCUUACACAUGCAAGUCGAACGGUAACGCGGGGCAACCUGGCGACGAGUGGCGAACGGGUGAGUAAUACAUCGGAACGUGCCCAGUAGUGGGGGAUAGCCCGGCGAAAGCCGGAUUAAUACCGCAUACGACCUAAGGGUGAAAGCGGGGGACCUUCGGGCCUCGCGCGAUUGGAGCGGCUGAUGUCGGAUUAGCUAGUUGGUGGGGUAAAGGCCUACCAAGGCGACGAUCCGUAGCUGGUCUGAGAGGAUGAUCAGCCACACUGGGACUGAGACACGGCCCAGACUCCUACGGGAGGCAGCAGUGGGGAAUUUUGGACAAUGGGCGCAAGCCUGAUCCAGCCAUGCCGCGUGAGUGAAGAAGGCCUUCGGGUUGUAAAGCUCUUUCAGACGGAAAGAAAUCGGGCGCGUGAAUAGCGUGCCUGGAUGACGGUACUGUCAGAAGAAGCACCGGCUAACUACGU